GAGCGAUGAACUGACGAUAGCAAUAUCUGACGGGAUUAGCAGCGAACGGGUGAGUAACACGUAGGAAUCUGCCCCAAAGUUCGGAAUAGCCUGGCGAAAGUCAGGGUAAUACCGGAUGUGAUCUUCGGAUUAAAGGCUUCGGUCGCUUUGGGAUGAGCCUGCGUUCCAUCAGCUUGUUGGUAGGGUAAAAGCCUACCAAGGCGAAGACGGAUAGCUGGUCUGAGAGGACGGUCAGCCACAAUGGAACUGAGACACGGUCCAUACACCUACGGGUGGCAGCAGUCGAGAAUCAUUCACAAUGGACGAAAGUCUGAUGGUGCGACGCCGCGUGGGGGAUGAAGGCCUUAGGGUCGUAAACCCCUGUCAGGUGCGAGUAAGGUCCUACUUACGUAGGAAUUGAUAUUAGCAUCAAAGGAAGGGACG
rnacentral:rRNA from 1 species